ACUCCUACGGGACGCAGCAGUGGGGAAUAUUGCACAAUGGGGGAAACCCUGAUGCAGCAACGCCGCGUGAAGGAAGACGGUUUUCGGAUUGUAAACUUCUUUUCUUAGUGAAGAAGCAAGUGACGGUAGCUAAGGAAUAAGCAUCGGCUAACUACGUGCCAGCAGCCGCGGUAAUACGUAGGAUGCGAGCGUUAUCCGGAAUUACUGGGUGUAAAGGGAGCGCAGGCGGGACGGCAAGUUGGAUGAGAAGUACCGCAGAUUAAAUGCGGAACUGC
rnacentral:rRNA from 1 species